ACCGCUUGAGCUAAAUAUAACAUUUUAUUGACUUCAAGUGUUGUUAUUAUCAAAACCAUAUCAUUUUCAAAACUAAGCAGCUAAUAAUUGACUCGUGUCUUGCUAUCCAUGAGCUUCAUCAUAUUGGAUCACAUCUUGAUUAUACAUACAAGCACAUAGGUCCAUAGUUGUGCAUUAAAGUUUAAUUUUUUUUUUGUUUUUCUCUUUUUGAUAUUUGUAAGGG
rnacentral:lncRNA from 1 species